rnacentral:rRNA from 1 species
UACAGAGGCCUCGAGCGUUAAUCGGAAUCACUGGGCUUAAAGGGUGCGUAGGCGGCCCGGUAAGUCAGUGGUGAAAGCCUCCAGCUCAACUGGAGAACUGCCAUUGAUACUGCCGGGCUUGAGUACAGACGAGGUUGGCGGAAUUGAUUGUGUAGCGGUGAAAUGCAUAGAUACAAUCAAGAACUCCGAUUGCGUAGGCAGCUAACUAGGCUGUAACUGACGCUGAGGCACGAAAGCGUGGGGAGCGAACAGG